rnacentral:rRNA from 1 species
GGUAGAUAGGCUAGAAGUGGAAGUUGAGUGAUCAAUGAAGCGGACUAGUACUAAUAGGUCGAGGACUUAACCAA